rnacentral:rRNA from 1 species
AGGGUUUGAUCCUGGCUCAGGACGAACGCUGGCGGCGUGCUUAACACAUGCAAGUCAAGGGGAAAUUAAGUCUUCGGAUUUAAGAUUAUACUGGCGAACGGGUGCGUAACGCGUGGGUGACCUGCCUUAAAGCAUGGGAUAACCUCUGGAAACGGGGGCUAAUACCGUAUAUAUCAUAAAGCUUCCUGGCUUUAUGAAGAAAGGUGCAACUGCAUCACUUUAAGAUGGGCCCGCGUCCCAUUAGGUAGUUGGUAGGGUAAUGGCCUACCAAGCCAUCGAUGGGUAGCUGAUCUGAGAGGAUGGUCAGCCACACUGGGACUGAGAUACGGCCCAGACUCCUACGGGAGGCAGCAGUGAGGAAUAUUGCGCAAUGGGGGCAACCCUGACGCAGCAACGCCGCGUGGGUGAUGAAGGUCUUAGGAUUGUAAAGCCCUGUCAGGUGGGAAGAGAGAUAGUGGCAGUGGAAAAGUCAUUAUGUAGGACGGUACCACCAGAGGAAGCUCCGGCUAACUCCGUGCCAGCAGCCGCGGUAAUACGGGGGGAGCGAGCGUUGUCCGGAAUCAUUGGGCGUAAAGGGCGUGUAGGCGGUCUUGUCAGUCAGUUGUGAAAUGUCACGGCUUAACCGUGGAGUUGCAAUUGAAACUUCAAGACUUGAGUGUCGUAGGGGAUGAUGGAAUUCCUGGUGUAGCGGUGAAAUGCGUAGAUAUCAGGAAGAACACCGGUGGCGAAGGCUGUCAUCUGGGCGAUCACUGACGCUGAGGCGCGAAAGCGUGGGUAGCAAACAGGAUUAGAUACCCUGGUAGUCCACGCUGUAAACGAUGGGCACUAGACGUCGGCCGCGCACGCAGAUCGUAAGCGAUCUGGGUGCAUGGUCGGUGUCGACGCAAACGCAUUAAGUGCCCCGCCUGGGGAGUACGAUCGCAAGGUUGAAACUCAAAGGAAUUGACGGGGCCCGCACAAGCGGUGGAGCAUGUGGUUUAAUUCGAUGCAACGCGAAGAACCUUACCGGGACUUGACAUUCAGUUGACGCGAGUAGAGAUAUUCGUUUCCUUCGGGACAAUUGAACAGGUGCUGCAUGGCUGUCGUCAGCUCGUGUCGUGAGAUGUUCGGUUAAGUCCGGCAACGAGCGCAACCCUUGUCCAUAGUUACCAUCAGGUAAUGCUGGGGACUCUAUGGAGACUGUUGGUGACAAACCAAAGGAAGGUGGGGAUGACGUCAAGUCCUCAUGGCCCUUACGUCCCGGGCCACACACGUGCUACAAUGGUCGGUACAGCGAGCAGCGAACUCGUGAGAGUAAGCGAAUCUCGAAAACCGAUCUCAGUUCGGAUUGCAGUCUGCAACUCGACUGCAUGAAGCUGGAAUCGCUAGUAAUCGCAGAUCAGCAUGCUGCGGUGAAUACGUUCCCGGGCCUUGUACACACCGCCCGUCACGCCAUGGAAGCCGGUAGCGCCCGAAGCCCCCGCACUAAGCGGGGUCGAAGGUGAGACUGGUGACUAGGGCGAAGUCGUAACAAGGUAGCCG